rnacentral:rRNA from 1 species
UGCUAGUUGUACGAGUUUAGACUCGUAGCAGAUAGCUCAGUAACACGUGGCCAAACUACCCUAUGGAUCCGGACAACCUCGGGAAACUGAGGCUAAUCCGGAAUACGACUCUCAGCCUGGAAGUGGCGAGAGUCAGAAACGCUCCGGCGCCAUAGGAUGUGGCUGCGGCCGAUUAGGUAGACGGUGGGGUAACGGCCCACCGUGCCCAUAAUCGGUACGGGUUGUGAGAGCAAGAGCCCGGAGACGGUAUCUGAGACAAGAUACCGGGCCCUACGGGGCGCAGCAGGCGCGAAACCUUUACACUGCACGAAAGUGCGAUAAGGGGACUCCAAGUGCGAGGGCAUAUAGUCCUCGCUUUUCACUACCGUAAGGAGGUAGUAGAAUAAGUGCUGGGCAAGACCGGUGCCAGCCGCCGCGGUAAUACCGGCAGCACGAGUGAUGACCGCUCUUAUUGGGCCUAAAGCGUCCGUAGCUGGCCACGCAAGUCUAUCGGGAAAUCCGCGCGCUCAACGCGCGGGCGUCCGGUGGAAACUGUGUGGCUUGGGACCGGAAGAUCCAGAGGGUACGUCUGGGGUAGGAGUGAAAUCCCGUAAUCCUGGACGGACCACCGGUGGCGAAAGCGCUCUGGAAAGACGGAUCCGACGGUGAGGGACGAAAGCUCGGGUCACGAACCGGAUUAGAUACCCGGGUAGUCCGAGCUGUAAACGAUGUCUGCUAGAUGUGCCACAGGCUACGAGCCUGUGGUGUGUCGUAGGGAAGCCGUGAAGCAGACCGCCUGGGAAGUACGUCCGCAAGGAUGAAACUUAA